GUCAAAGUUUUUUCUUUAUUUAUUUUUUACAUUCCUUUUAUACUUCAGCGCCCACUGAUAAGCUGCUUCAUCAUCUUCUUGCGCUGCCUGCUUUGUGUACUUCGUUGGUUUUUCUCCUUCAUUAUGUCUUUGUAGUUGAGAGUUGUGCUUUGCUUAUUUUUUCCGUUUGCUUUUUUUUCUUUAGACAACUUAGCCAAUGACUUGGCUUUUGUUUGGGAAUAUAUACAACAACAGGAAUAUCAAUGGAAGUAACAGAAACAACAAAAUCAACAAGAUGAGAAUUUUAUCUCGACGUUUAACAAUCACGCCUUUCUUGAGCCAGUUUCAAAACAAAACAAAAAUACUCAGUACAUCAUGAAGACUAUCGUCUAUAUCCCAACGGAGCAUUGACCUGUUUUACUAUAUACAAUUACAGCCUAUUGUAGAUAGGCUGCGAAUUUCAGCAAUAUGCAAUCAAUUUCUCACUAAUUCAAUGAAUAAAAUUACUAUUUUUUUCUUA